rnacentral:rRNA from 1 species
CCCUUAGAUGUUCUGGGCCGCACGCGCGCUACACUGAUGCAUUCAACGAGCCUAGCCUUGACCGAGAGGUCCGGGUAAUCUUUGAAACUGCAUCGUGAUGGGGCUAGAUUAUUGCAAUUAUUAAUCCUCAACGAGGAAUGCCUAGUAAGCGUGAUUCAUCAAAUCGCGUUGAUUACGUCCCUGCCCUUUGUACACACCGCCCGUCGCUCCUACCGAUUGAGUGUGUUGGUGAGGAGUUUGGAUUGGCCUCGGAAGGUGGUUCGCCACCGUCCGUAGCUGAGAAGUUCUCCAAACCGCCCCACUUAGAGGAAGGAGAAGUCGUAACA